UUUAAGUUAAUAAACUCUCUCAAAAUACAAAAAACUCUCUCAAAGAUAUAAACUAAGCUAACAUAUGGAGAAAUCGAAAAUCCAAUCAGAUAUUUUAGAUAGCAUGAAAAAUCAAGAGGCAAAGACUACUUAUCAAGACAAAGCUACUCAGACUGAGAACAAAAACGAAGAUACAAUUGAAGAGCUACUCAGAGCUAUUACUACACUUUGUACUUAAGUGGACAGUAUGGACAAUGAGAUACAAAAGCUAAAGACUAAUGAAGAUAACCUGAAGUCUAAAGCUAAUAUAAGUCAGCAGUAUGACUAUAAAAAUGCGGAGCUACGUCGAUCGGAAGACGGUAAAAUUCCAGAGAUAAAAGGAGACGAUGGGAAACUCCCUAAAACCCAUAAUGUUUGUUUAAAUACAG